rnacentral:lncRNA from 1 species
GCCUGCCUCCCAGCCCCUUUUGGGAGCUGUUGGCGAGGAGCUGGGAGCCGUGCAGCACCCGUGUCACUGUGUCUCAGCGAACCCAGCUGUAAUCACCGGGCCUUCUGCAGCAGGAAGCUGCCCGUCGCAGUGGCCGAGCCCGGUGGACGGCGCUGCGGCGGCGACUCCCUUGCAGCCCAGCUCUUCAGCCCCCUCUGGGCGCUCGACCUUCCGUGCAGGAAGCUUCCUCCAUCUUCCUUGCUCCAGGAGCUGCCUCCAAAACAGCGCACAGGGAUCCCUCGCACACAGCAGCACUCCCCGCAAAGGCCUUCGGAGUCUGAGUCCAAAUGCUCAGAGGAAGGCAGAGGGCCCCAAGCGCCCAGUCUCCAGCAGGUCCUGAACACUCCUGCCUCGGCCUCCCUGCCCAUCCCCAUUCCUCCUCCUUUCACCCCUGGCCUUCUCACCCAGGUGAGGAGCAGUGGAGAAGUCAGUCCAGCAGCGCUAUCGGAGAGGAGUCCCCACCAGGCCAACUCAGGAGGUGGCACUGUGUGGGACGUGAAAGGGCCGGGGCGUCCCUGCCUCUCCCACCAGCGCUCCCGGCGGCGCUGCACACUGCACCCUGUGAGUUCAGAUGCACCCUCAGCCUGGGACUGCCCUCUGAGCGCACUCCCACCGGCUGGUGCAAUCAGCGCGGCUUCUUUGGCUAGGCUCUGCCAUUUGGCGUUCUGCCUAGUGCUGGGAUCCUUUGCUGGUCGUGGUGGCUGCUGGACUCUGGAGCUUUGCAGUGAUAAAAGCACCUCUUGCUCAUCGCUCUCUCUUCGCAGAUGACCAGUGUGUCUACACUACCCAAGAUGAGUACUUACAGGACUUUUGGAGUCCACGUUCCCUGAGAAAUAAAUCAGGAGCAGGUUUGCAGGACCACAGGGGAAAGGCUUUAUUUUCUCAGUACAGGGGGGUCAGUAGACUGGAUGGAGCCCUCCUACACUAACCUGAGCAGUGUGAGGGGACCGCUGCUUCUACAGCAGCUCCGGGCCUGUGGUGUGCCCAGAGCAGGCCUGGCACUGGUGUGGAGUUCCAAGACAGGCAGUGAAGAGGCGGGGCUGAAACCAGGAAGUCUUCUAGGAGGCUAGCUGUGGGGUGGGGUAGGGGAUGUCAGCAAUGGGACCGGUCCCCUCCCUGGUCUUAGCCAGCUGGGGUGCCCUGUGCCCAUGCAGUUUGUUCAGGAAGGCAAGGGCAGCCUCUGAAGUAGGAGGGCAGGGGGAGCGUGCUGUGUGGAUCAUCCAGCUGCACCCACCAUGGAGUGGGGUGGACUGAGUGCCGUAGAGUGAGGUGGAGUGCAGUGCAGUGGAGAGGAGAAGAGUGGAGUGCAGUGCAGUGGAGAGGAGAAGAGUGGAGUACAGUGCAG